UACGUAGGGGGCUAGCGUUGUCCGGAAUCAUUGGGCGUAAAGCGCGUGUAGGCGGUUUGGUAAGUCCGCUGUGAAAGUCGGGGGCUCAACCCUCGGAUGCCGGUGGAUACUGUCGGGCUUGAGUACGGAAGAGGCGAGUGGAAUUCCUGGUGUAGCGGUGAAAUGCGCAGAUAUCAGGAGGAACACCAAUUGCGAAGGCAGCUCGCUGGGACGUUACUGACGCUGAGACGCGAAAGCGUGGGGAGCAAACAGG
rnacentral:rRNA from 1 species